rnacentral:misc_RNA from 1 species
GUAGGUGAACCUGCGGAAGGAUCAUUGCUAAACGAAUCCCUUGCGGAUUCAACGAUCCAUAUAAACCCACUUGUGCACUGUUGUAGUGAUUGUCACUCUUUUGGGCGGACAAGGUUUAACCUCAUUGGGUUAAGGAAUGGGAGAACACUUCAGUUUGAAGAUCUCCAAUUUUCCCCGCUCCCAAUGUUUAGACCCCGCCCAGAGGUGACUUUAGUCAAACUCUUGUUUUCAAUCAAUGUCUGAAGUUAUC